UACGAGAGGCCCAAACGUUAUUCGGAUUUACUGGGCUUAAAGAGUUCGUAGGCGGCGCGGAAAGUAGGGUGUGAAAGCCCUCGGCUUAACCGAGGAAUUGCGCUCUAAACUACCGUGCUUGAGGAACCUAGAGGUGAGCAGAACUGAUGGUGGAGCGGUGAAAUGCGUUGAUAUCGAGAAGAACACCGGUGGCGAAGGCGGCCAUCUGGACAGAUACUGACGCUGAGACGCGAAAGCGUGGGGAGCAAACAGG
rnacentral:rRNA from 1 species